rnacentral:rRNA from 1 species
AAUCAACGCUGGCGGCGUGCCUCAGACAUGCAAGUCGAACGAUUAAAGCUCUCUUCGGAGAGUGUAUAGAGUGGCGCACGGGUGAGUAACACGUAAGUAAUCUACCCUCGGGUGGGGAAUAACAUCGGGAAACCGAUGCUAAUACCGCAUAAUGCAGCGGCUCCUAAUGGAGACAGUUGUUAAAGGAUUUAUUCGCCUGGGGAGGAGCUUGCGGCAGAUUAGCUAGUUGGUAAGGUAAUGGCUUACCAAGGCUACGAUCUGUAGCCGGUCUAAGAGGACGGUCGGUCACACUGACACUGAAUAACGGGUCAGACUCCUACGGGAGGCAGCAGUCGGGAAUUUUGGGCAAUGGGCGAAAGCCUGACCCAGCAACGCCGCGUGAAGGAUGAAGUAUUUCGGUAUGUAAACUUCGAAAGAAUAGGAAGAAUUAAUGACGGUACUAUUUAUAAGGUCCGGCUAACUACGUGCCAGCAGCCGCGGUAAU